rnacentral:SRP_RNA from 2 species
GCCGGGCGCAGUGGCGGGCGCCUGUAAUCCCAGCUACUCAGGAGGCUGAGGCAGGAGAAUCGCUUGAACCCGGGAGGUGGAGUGUGCAGUGAGCCGAGAUCACGCCACUGCACUCUAGCCUGGGCGACAGAGUGAGACUCCAUCUCAA